CCUACGGGAGGCAGCGGUGAGGAAUAUUGGUCAAUGGUCGGGAGACUGAACCAGCCAAGUCGCGUGAGGGAUGAAGGUACAGAGUAUUGUAAACCUCUUUUGUCAGGGAACAAAGGCGGCGACGCGUCCCCGGAUGAGUGUACCCGAAGAAAAAGCAUCGGCUAACUCCGUGCCAGCAGCCGCGGUAAUACGGAGGAUGCGAGCGUUAUCCGGAUUUAUUGGGUUUAAAGGGUGCGCAGGCGGAAUAUUAAGUCAGCGGUAAAAGUGCGGGGCUCAACCCCGGCGCGCCGUUGAAACUGGCAGUCUUGAGUGAGAGAGAAGUAUGCGGAAUGCGCGGUGUAGCGGUGAAAUGCAUAGAUAUCGCGCAGAACUCCGAUUGCGAAGGCAGCAUACCGGCGCCCCACUGACGCUGAGGCACGAAAGCGUGGGUAUCGAACAGGAUUAGAUACCCGGGUAGUC
rnacentral:rRNA from 1 species